UAAGACGAACCGUCCGAACGUUAUUCGGAAUCACUGGGCUUACAGAGUUCGUAGGCGGUCCGGUAAGUUAGAUGUGAAAUCCCUUGGCUUAACCAAGGAACUGCGUUUGAAACUACCGGACUCGAGGGAGAUAGAGGAAAGCGGAACUGAUGGUGGAGCGGUGAAAUGCGUUGAUAUCAUCAGGAACACCGGUGGCGAAGGCGGCUUUCUGGGUCUCUUCUGACGCUGAGGAACGAAAGCUAGGGGAGCGAACGGGAUUAGAUACCCCGGUAGUCCUAGCCGUAAACGAUGAGCACUAGGUCGUGGGCCUCCACAGGCCCUCGGCCGUAGCGAAAGUGUUAAGUGCUCCGCCUGGGGAGUAUGGUCGCAAGGCUG
rnacentral:rRNA from 1 species